rnacentral:rRNA from 1 species
CGCGGCCUAUCAGCUUGUUGGUGAGGUAACGGCUCACCAAGGCGAUUACGGGUAGCUGGUCUGAGAGGACGAUCAGCCACACUGGAACUGAGAUACGGUCCAGACUCCUACGGGAGGCAGCAGGAGGGAAUCUUGCGCAAUGGGCGAAAGCCUGACGCAGCGACGCCGCGUGGGGGAUGAAUGCCUUAGGGUUGUAAACCCCCUUCACGAGGGAAGAAACUGACGGUACCUCGAGAAGAAGCCCCGGCCAACUACGUGCCAGCAGCCGCGGUAAUACGUAGGGGGCGAGCGUUGUCCGGAUUUAUUGGGCGUAAAGGGCUCGUAGGUGGCUUGGCAAGUCGGCCGUGAAAACCCAGGGCUCAACUCUGGGACGCCGGUCGAUACUGCCAUGGCUAGGGUCCGGUAGAGGGGAAUGGAAUUCCCGGUGUAGCGGUGAAAUGCGCAGAUAUCGGGAGGAACACCAGUAGCGAAGGCGGUUCCCUGGGCCGGCACCGACGCUGAGGAGCGAAAGCGUGGGGAGCAAACGGGAUUAGAUACCCUGGUAGUCCACGCCGUAAACGUUGGGUACUAGGCGUGGCGUCUUAUCAACGGAUGCCGUGCUCGAAGCUAACGCGUUAAGUACCCCGCCUGGGGAGUACGG